GCCUACGGGACGCAGCAGUCGGGAAUAUUGCGCAAUGGAGGAAACUCUGACGCAGUGACGCCGCGUAUAGGAAGAAGGUUUCCGGAUUGUAAACUACUGUCGUGAGGGAAGAAGAUGACAGUACCUCAGGAGGAAGCUCCGGCUAACUAUGUGCCAGCAGCCGCGGUAAUACAUAGGGAGCAAGCGUUAUCCGGAAUUACUGGGUGUAAAGGGAGAGUAGGCGGCAAGGUAAGCGAUAUGUGAAAGCCUUAAGCUUAACUUAAGGAUGGCAUAACGAACUCUCUAGCUAGAGUACAGGAGAGGAA
rnacentral:rRNA from 1 species